AUUGAACGCUAGCGGGAUGCUUUACACAUGCAAGUCGAACGGCAGCACGAAAAGAGCUUGCUCUUUUUGGUGGCGAGUGGCGAACGGGUGAGUAAUGUAUCGGAACGUACCCAGUAGCGGGGGACAACUACGCGAAAGCGUGGCUAAUACCGCAUACGCCCUACGGGGGAAAGGGGGGGAUCGCAAGACCUCUCACUAUUGGAGCGGCCGAUAUCGGAUUAGCUAGUUGGUGGGGUAAAGGCUCACCAAGGCAACGAUCCGUAGCUGGUUUGAGAGGACGACCAGCCACACUGGGACUGAGACACGGCCCAGACUCCUACGGGAGGCAGCAGUGGGGAAUUUUGGACAAUGGGGGGAACCCUGAUCCAGCCAUCCCGCGUGUGCGAUGAAGGCCUUCGGGUUGUAAAGCACUUUUGGCAGGGAAGAAACGGCGCUGACUAAUACUUGGCGCAACUGACGGUACCUGCAGAAUAAGCACCGGCUAACUACGUG
rnacentral:rRNA from 1 species